GGCUCUGCCCUGGAUUUAUCCCCCUCCCUUCUUCUUUUCGCAUUUAUAUAUCUGAAAAUGGCUACCAGGGGCUUGGCGAUCGCUUGAGGAGGCAGAGAUGGCAGACCUACAGCUGUACGUGCAAAUAAAAGCGAGAGCUCACGGAUACCGGCUUUGCUUCCCAGCGAGGACUGAGUAGUUAAUCCAAUAAGAAUCCAAAGGCUUUGUAAGGGCCACCUGUGCAUCGUGCCUGGCUGUGCCGGGGGUUACCCGCUGGAAACCAUCCCAGCCCUGUAGAGAAGUUCACACAACAGUCGGCUUCUCCAGAGAGAUCCGAUACCAGCGCAGGGUGCCCACGCCCAGGGAUCUCUAUUGCCAGGGUUUACAAUGCCGCAGGCACUGGGAAAGGCAGAGCAAGCAAACCGGACCGGGGCUUGAACUGCGUUGAAAACAAGAGUUUGCAGAAGAGAUUUGCAGAUGAAUUCAGCACGACACACAUGAUGCCAGAGGAGCAGUAAUAAACCUGCACCUGUUCCCGUACCCGCCUUGCCAGUCUCGAGCCUAGGUACAGAGCUGGGCUGGUUUUCUGGCUGAAAAGGCCACUUGGAUUUAUUGUGUUUUCCCUUCCCAGAGCUUUAGCAUGGAUAAGAAAUGUGAAAAAAAGGACUUAAGUGCU
rnacentral:lncRNA from 1 species